UACGGGAGGCAGCAGUGGGGAAUAUUGCACAAUGGGCGAAAGCCUGAUGCAGCUAUGCCGCGUGUAUGAAGAAGGCCUUCGGGUUGUAAAGUACUUUCAGUCGUGAGGAAGGUGUUAAGGUUAAUAACCUUAGCAAUUGACGUUAGCGACAGAAGAAGCACCGGCUAACUCCGUGCCAGCAGCCGCGGUAAUACGGAGGGUGCGAGCGUUAAUCGGAAUUACUGGGCGUAAAGGGCACGCAGGCGGUUAAUUAAGUUGGAUGUGAAAUCCCCGGGCUUAACCUGGGAAUGGCAUUCAAGACUGGUUAGCUAGAGUCUUGUAGAGGGGGUAGAAUUCCAUGUGUAGCGGUGAAAUGCGUAGAGAUGUGGAGGAAUACCGGUGGCGAAGGCGGCCCCUGGGACAAAGGACUGACGCUCAUGUGCGAAAGCGUGGGGAGCAAAC
rnacentral:rRNA from 1 species